GAGAGCCAGGAGAGGGGGCCAGCCCCAGGCCCCGAAACAGUGUUCUGGGGCU
rfam:Mus musculus chromosome 5, GRC primary reference assembly.